ensembl:lncRNA
GCAAUGAAGCCUCGUGAAGUGAGCAGGUGAAGGCGAAAUGGUACUGGUUAGAAAGUUUGGUGCCAUACGAGGGGGGUGAGGGGGAAUUCUUGAAUAUCAGGGAACCCACUUUACUGCAGGCCCCAUCAGCCUGACAGGUAAAACUCAAACUAUAUGUCCCAAUGAUAGUAACUAUUUUAAAACUCAAAGUUUUCUGGACUCUGCCGAUGGCCCAGUAGUCGGGACUUUGCCUUCCAAAUGUGGGGGUACAGGUUGCAUUCCUAGUCAGGGAGCUGAGAUCCCAUAUGUGGGGGACAGGUUGGAUCCCUGGUCAGGGAGCUGAGAUCCCAUAUGUGGGGGUACACGUUGGAUCCCUGGUCAGGGAGCUGAGAUCCCAUAUGUGGGGGACAGGUUGGAUCCCUGGUCAGGGAGCUGAGAUCCCAUAUGUGGGGGUACAGGUUGGAUCCCUGGUCAGGGAGCUGAGAUCACAUAUGUGGAGGACAUGUUGGAUCCCUGGUCAGGGAGCUGAGAUCACAUAUGCCUCACAACCAGGAGGCCUAAGCAUGGAACAGAAGUGAUGUAACAGGUUCAGUAAAGACUUUAGAAAUGGUCCACAUUAAAAAAAAAAAAACAACACACACACAAACAAAAAUGUUUCAUCUCAAGCUCUCAACAGUGGCCUUGAGAAUCAGGGAUUUCAAAACUUCAGGACCCUUCCUCUGUCUGGUGCCAGGGCAUCUCUGUCUUCCAGCAGGUGAGUGACACCCAUGUCCAGGCUCCGUGUUGGCCUUGCCUCCAGGUUGCCUCUGGCUUCUCCUUGUAGGGAAGUUCUCAAACACCUCCCUCUCUUCUCUAGAAGGAAAUGCAUUUGUUCGGCUCUUACUUACUUUUAUUUACCAUUUGUUGAAUAGUAAUGUGCUCCAGAGUUGAAAAGUAAAAGGUGUAAUAGGUACAUAACCAUAAAGGGUCUGUACUUUCUCCCAGUCACCAGUCUUCCCAGAGGAUGUAUUUCUUUUGUAUUUCUCCACAGAUAGUCUCUGUAUUAAGGAAUGCAUUUUUCUUCAUUUUAAAUAACAAAUUCUAGUACCUUUUUGAUACUGUUUUGUAUUUGCAUCUUUCGCUUAUUUAAAAUAUAUCUUGGGAGAACUUCCCCAGCAGUCCAUUAGUUAAUGCUUCACCUAAUGCAGGGAGUGUGGGCUCCAUCCUUGGUCAGGGAGCUAAGAUCCCACACGCCUUAAGGCCAAAAAACCAAAACAGAAAAAAAGCAAUUUUGUAAUGAAUUCAGUAAAGACUUUAAAAAUGGUCCACAUCAAAAAUAUCUUUAAAAAAUAAAGUAUUAAACAUAUCUUGGAAUAUUGGGGCUUCCCUGGUGGCUCAGACAGUAAAGAAUCCACUCACAAUGUGGGAUACCUAGGUUCAAUCUCUAGGUUGGGAAGAUCCCCUUGAGGUGGGCAAGGCGACCCACUCCAGUAAUCUUGCCUGGAGAAUCCCCAUGGAUGGAGGAUCAACUAAGCACAGCACAGCACAUGGGAAACAAAUCUGAAAAAGAAUAUAUAUGAAGGAGGAAACAGACAGAACAGGCUCCGUCUUGAAAACAGGACUCCAUGUUGGGCCAGACUGUGACCUGUGAGCUGUAUGCCCAAUAUCUGUGGAAACGACAUACCAACUGGAAUUCCAUGCCCCUGGAAGGAAGAGCUCCAGCACUCACACCUAGACUCUCUGUUGCCUAAAAGAAAACCCUAACUCUCUGUGUAACUGAAUAGAAUCAUACAUUAUAUUAUGCUUAUUGGGGUAUGACCACAGGUCUGUUCAUAACUGUCCAGUGUUAACUACCUAGGCUUAAGGCAUAUGAAUCAUGGGUUAACUUUGAUUGUAUCUUUCUUUUCCUUUUUUU